GAGCGUCAGCGAGAAAGCGUUGCCGCAGGCAACGACCCGAAGGGCGAAGCGCGCAGCGCUGAGUCAUCCUUCCCCCACCACCA
rnacentral:sRNA from 3 species